GAUGAAGAACGCAGCGAAAUGCGAUAAGUAAUGUGAAUUGCAGAAUUCAGUGAAUCAUCGAAUCUUUGAACGCACAUUGCGCCCGCCAGUAUUCUGGCGGGCAUGCCUGUUCGAGCGUCAUUACAACCCUCAGGCCCCCGGGCCUGGCGUUGGGGAUCGGCGGAAGCCCCCUGUGGGCACACGCCGUCCCUCAAAUACAGUGGCGGUCCCGCCGCAGCUUCCAUUGCGUAGUAGCUAACACCUCGCAACUGGAGAGCGGCGCGGCCAUGCCGUAAAACACCCAACUUCUGAAUGUUGACCUCGAAUCAGGUAGGACUACCCGCUGAACUUAAGCAUAUCAAUAACGGAGGA
rnacentral:misc_RNA from 1 species